UAUAACGAACGUUCAUAAGGACGUCAGCGCGAUAAAUCGACCGGCGUACGUACGUUAAAUCCGUUAUAACAUUUCGCCGACGAGCGUAUCGUAAAUCAAGCGGCAUUUGUCAUUGUACGAAGGUAUUUACAUUAAAUGACUUAAGCGAUUAAUAUUGAUCGCCGAGGUAUUCGGUGAGGCUUCGUCGGGACAGGAGAAAUGAUUAAUGCAUUAAUGCCUGAACGGAAGAUACGGGCGAUGAUACUUUUCACGAAUAAACCGACGUAGAGAAAGGGAAAUUGUUGCACACGACAAGAAAACUCGGCGAAAAAUCGGCUUGGAGAAAGUUGCUGCAACGACGACAACGACAACAACGACGACGACGACUACCUGCUGCAACGACAUCGCGAAAUCACCGGCAAUCCGCGUGGGCAUCAGUCAUUGCCAGUUGGGUUAUAACUCGAGAGCGGCGCGUGUUAAGCUGCGGAACGCGACGGCGCGGCGGCGAUGCACUUGCAACGCCGCGAAUGCACCGCGACGAGCGCACACAUCUCAUUUCGAUGCGACAAUGCAACGGCGCGACACUUUCAAUGGGACACGCGAUACAAUUUUUAUUCAAAGCCUAUGUGUCACGGGGGAACGGGUGGGAAAGGGGGGCGAAGGACAGAGCGUGGCGGGAAGGAAAUAAGUGAAAAAAGUGGCCCAGAAACACCGAAGGUGCAGCAGUUAUUGUUUAUUAUCGUAAUCGAAGAAAUUGGACCGUUAUCGUAAAGCGAUUCUGAAAUAUGAAUAAUUCAGACGGCAUGUCUAACGAAAUCUAUAAAUUUGUAAAUUUAUGCUACCCGCUUCGUGAUAAACGUUUUAAUUACCGGA